AAAUGUCACUGCAGAGUGUUCUAUGCCUAAACUGUGUAAUGUGGACAGCUUCACUGACUGGUACAAAGUGGGUAGUGUCUGUGUCAAAUACUUCGACAGACCUCUCAACUUCACUGACGCCGAGUUCAACUGUAGGACCAAAGCCCCUGGAGCACACCUAGUGUCGGUGCAUGAAGAAGAGCACAAUGAUUACCUGCUCUGCAUUGUGAAAAAAUUCAACCCAAAUAACCUGCGCAUCUGGCUCGGAGCUUUUGAACUUUUUAAGUCUGGUAAAUUUCUUUGGGUUGAUGGAUCCAACUGGGAUUUUCAAAAUGGAAACAUGGCGAACCCAGCCAUAUGUACAACAGCAUAGAGGAAUGUGUGGAGAUGAACUGGCACGAGGAUGGCAGAUGGAAUGACCACGCUUGUCAUGUCAAGAAAAACUACAUAUGUGCCUUCAAACGAAAUGCCGUCUUGAAACCAGGCUCUGAGGAGAUGGAGUAAUUUUAUCUGGGUACUGUCCCAUAAAACUUUCUGAAUAAAAUGAUAUUCUCUGCAUCAACAAAAAACUUACAAUAAAAAUAAUUCUUCAAAUAGCUUUAAAAUACUAAUAAAGAAUUUUUGCAAUCAAAA